AUUGAACGCUGGCGGCAGGCCUAACACAUGCAAGUCGAGCGAGCGGCGGACGGGUGAGUAAUGUUUGGGGACUGCACCAUAGAGGGGGAUAACGAAUGGAAACGGUAGCUAAUAACCCAUACUAUCGGAUAACCCAUAUGGGAUUAGCUAGUAGGUGUGGUAAUGGCUCCCCUAGGCGACGAUCCCUAGCUGGUCUGAGAGGAUGAUAAGCCACACUGGUACUGAGACACGGCCCAGCCUCCGACGGAGGCAGCAGUGUGGAAUAUUGCACAAGGGGCGCAAGCCUGAUGCAGCCAUGCCGCGUGUAUGAAGAAGGCCCUAGGGUUGUAAAGUACUUUCAGUCGGGAGGCGUUACCGACAGAAGAAGCACCGGCUAACUCCGUGCCAGCAGCCGCGGUAAUAC
rnacentral:rRNA from 1 species